rnacentral:lncRNA from 1 species
AUGAGACCCCUUCCCGGCCGACGGCGAGGCUGCCCGGAAACCGACGGGAGCUUCCGGGUCGUGGUGGCCGCUGCAGGGGGUGGUUUCCCGCUGCUGUUCCUGCGAGGCCGGCGUCCUCCCGCCGUGAGACGUUGGUCUGUCGGGUGGGCAGCACGUCCGUCCGUUCGCGAGAGGCACGGUGGCACCAUGCUGGACCCCGCCAGUCCGCGCGCGCCGUGCAGACAGCCCAGGAGGCCUGAGGGCGCUCCCCCGACCCCCAGGACGCCCGCGCUCCGGCCUGGCCCAGGGCCCCCCGCGAGGACGGACGCACGCACGUCGGGAAGAUUGCUACUUCCUAGAGAAAAAGCUCUCACUGCCUUUAUACAGCCAGCCAGUUGGAGGAAAGGCCCUAAUUAUCUUUCCAAGUUCUGGCACUCAGACUCUAUUUCCUAUUUUGGCUUAAGAUCAAACAAAAUGUGAAAGGAAUAAAAAAGAAAUCAACAAGGCA